ACCACCAUUAAUCAAAUAAGAACUGUCUUAUAAAUUAGUGGUAUUUUAGAUGACACCUAGCUAGCUAAUUAUAGCUACGGAAACAGAUUGUCGUUUUUGGGGAAGAACAUUGUCUGCACCCAUCAGCCAGCUAGCGAUUUUAUGACCAGCACUGUCCAGAGCUUUACGAAGUGUGUCUGCGCUCGUGCGGCAGACCACUGAGGUCGGGGCCUGUUCCUGUGUUCCUGAGGGAGCUGUAUAUCCUCCGCCUCCGGGUUCUUCAGAGUCGUGAAAGAAGAAAAAGGAUUCUACUAGUCCGUGGUAUGCAUGGGAUCUGACACUGUAGUGGUCUGACAUCAAGCAAUUGGGGGAGGGCAGAGCUAUUAGAAGACCACAUAGCAUGAAAACCGUGAGAUCACUUUGAGCCAACCUAAGGAGUCCCCCACCAAGCCGUCCUCCAGAACAAUAGGACAAUGACCUGCACCUGACCAAAUACCUCCAGGCUGUUUCAAGGCUAUUUAACCAAGAAGGAGAGUGAUGGAGUGCUGCAUCAGAUGACCUAGCCUCCACAAUCACCCGACCUCAACCCAAUUGAGAUGGUUUGGGAUAAGUCGGACCGCAAAGUGAAGGAAAAGCAACCAAAAAGUGCUUAGCAUAUGUGGGAAGUCCUUCAAGACUACUUGAAAAGCAUUCCAGGUGAAGCUGGUUGAGAGAAUGCCAAGAGUGUGCAACGCUGUCAUCAAGGCAAAGGGUGGCUACUUUGAAGAAUCUCAAAUAUAAAAUAUUUUUUGAUUUGUGUAACACUUUUUUGGUUACUAUAUAAUUCUGUAUGUGUUAUUUCAUAGUUUUGAUGUUUUCACUAUUAUUCUACAAUGUAGACAUAGUAAAAAUAAAGAAAAACCCUUGAAUGAG